rfam:Rattus norvegicus chromosome 2, whole genome shotgun sequence.
GGGGAUUUAGCUCAGUGGUAGAGCGCUUGCCUAGGAAGCGCAAGGCCCUGGGUUCGGUCCCCAGCCCCC